rnacentral:misc_RNA from 1 species
UUUCCGUAGGUGAACCUGCGGAAGGAUCAUUAUUGAACGAAUGUAGAGUCGGUUGUAGCUGGUCUCCUAGAGACAUGUGCACGCCUUCUCUUUCAUCCACACACCCCUGUGCACUUGUUAGACAGAGGCUUGUUUCCUUUGAUUAGGAGGUAGUCUCUGUCUUCCCUCACAUAAAACCAUAUUUAUUUAAAUCUGAAUGUAAUUGAUGUAACGCAUCUAAUACAAAGUUUCAACAACGGAUCUCUUGGCUCUCGCAUCGAUGAAGAACGCAGC